rnacentral:rRNA from 1 species
GACGAACGCUGGCGGCGCGCCUAACACAUGCAAGUCGAACGAGAGAUGAGGAGCUUGCUCUUCAAAUCGAGUGGCGAACGGGUGAGUAACGCGUGAGGAACCUGCCUCAAAGAGGGGGACAACAGUUGGAAACGACUGCUAAUACCGCAUAAGCCCACGGCUCGGCAUCGAGCAGAGGGAAAAGGAGCGAUCCGCUUUGAGAUGGCCUCGCGUCCGAUUAGCUAGUUGGUGAGGUAACGGCCCACCAAGGCGACGAUCGGUAGGGGUUCUGAGAGGAAGGUCCCCCACAUUGGAACUGAGACACGGUCCAAACUCCUACGGGAGGCAGCAGUGAGGAAUAUUGGUCAAUGGGCAGAGCCUGAACCAGCCAAGUAGCGUGCAGGACGACGGCCCUAUGGGUUGUAAACUGCUUUUAUAAGGGAAUAAAGUGAGUCUCGUGAGACUUUUUGCAUGUACCUUAUGAAUAAGGACCGGCUAAUUCCGUGCCAGCAGCCGC